UACAGAGGGGGCAAGCGUUGUUCGGAAUUACUGGGCGUAAAGCGCGUGUAGGCGGCCCUGCAAGUCGGAUGUGAAAUCCCACGGCUCAACCGUGGAAGUGCAUUCGAAACUGCAGGGCUAGAGUCCUGGAGAGGAAGGUGGAAUGCUUGGUGUAGAGGUGAAAUUCGUAGAUAUCAAGCGGAACACCGGUGGCGAAGGCGGCCUUCUGGACAGUGACUAACGCUGAGACGCGAAAGCGUGGGGAGCAAACAGG
rnacentral:rRNA from 1 species